UAAAAUAAUAAGUUUAUAUAUAGUAUGUAUAUAUCUUUCAGUUGGUCUGUUGCUCUUUAGUCCACCUUCUAGAUCAAGUAAAUGGUUACGAGAAACUUUGCGAUGAAGAAUGCAGUUAUAUUCAUUAACAUGACGGCAUUUGCCGUCUGUUCUUGUCAGCCUUUUAUUCAUUUAUAAUGUUAAAAUCAGCUUGUUUCCUUCCUAAACAUAUCCGUGUUUUGAACAGGUGAGUCAAUGAUUAAAUGAGCCAUUCAUGAAGGUAGUCACUUGCUUCAUUCCUGAAGCGAUCAGACAUCUCUGUUGAAUGAUUUGGUCAAUAAAUCAUUAAGAACGACUGCCCAUAAAAUAUAUUUUUUUAACAUUUCAUAUAUUUGUAUUUGGCAUUUUAUGUUUAAAACUUUAUAUAUAAACAGUCAUUAUUUAUGCAGUUGUAAUUGCAGUGUUAAUGUCACUUCAAGUGCAGCUUCUGUGCCACUUCUGCAAUUCUAAAAUGUUUUGCUUGCACUGAUUUCAGUUGAUUAAUUAAAAAAAGUCAUAUUACAAUGAUUGCAUUUGAUUAAAUUUACCGUACUAAUUAGAGGUCGACCGAUUCAUCGAAUCGCCAGCGUGGUUGCCGCUAAUCUCGCUUACAUUGCUAAUACUCUAUUCACACACAUUACCAUUGUUUUACUCACUUUACUUUAAUGGCAGAUUUGUGUCUACCUUUGAGUGCAGGUGAGGACGCAAGCUGGAGGCCGUGGAGAAGCAGGCCCAGCUGAGGGAGCGGAGAGCCGCGCUGGAAACAUACACAGGGGUCAUCAUGGGGCCACAUGCACCCAGGACGCGAUCUUCCCAGAUGUCCUUCACUCCGGCGCCGGGACACCAUGGACCCUGGGUGCACCAGCAGCUGAAGACGCGAGCCAAGCCCCGGACGAGGAACUCUCCCCCUCCGGUCUUCGAGAUCUCCACCCGGAACCGCUGUGAUCGUCGGAGACUCCAUCGUCCAGCAUGUCCGUGCUACGUUAGUUGAAGGUAAAGUGCACACUCAAUGUUUCCCUGGCGCUCGUGUUCUCGAUGUUUCUGUGCAGAUACCCGUGAUCCUGAAGGGCAACGAGAGCUUUGCAGCUGUUGUAAUUCACGCGGGGGUGAAUGACAUCAAGAUGCGGCAGACGGAAACACUGAAGAGGGACUUCAGAAACCUGAUCGAGAUGGUAUGCAGCACAUCGCCCGCGACGACGAUCGUUGUGUCAGGACCGCUUCCCACGUACCGACGAGAACACGAAAGGUUCAGUAGAUAUUUGUGUGAUGUGCACUCCUAAACUUUUCCUCAGGAAAUUGGUUUUAUCAUGGAAAACACCGAACGUAAGUGUUUAACCUCAUUUACAUUUUGUAUUUUAUAAAAUAACAUUACUUUAUGACGAUAUUUUGAUGCUGUGCGCGCCUAAACGUUUCUCACAGAUGCAUUUGAAUGGCUAUGCACUGACGCGUAAGCCACUUUUAACAGGGGAAACAUAAGUAGUAAGUGUUUUACCUCAUUUAAAAUUUGUGUUUUAUUACAUCACAUAUUAAUUAAUAGCGAUAUUUAUGUGUUGUGCGCUCUAAACCUUUCUCAGAGAGACAUUUUCUUUCACUGGAGAUGCGGAGCGGGCGGGGAAGUUGGUCUUCUCAAGGAAAACACUGAGGGAGUUAAAUUGUUCGUCAUUCAAAGUGAUUUUGUGCCCUCACAAGUCUUGAAAUAUGGCACGAGUCGCAUAAACUACUUUAGACACUUUAUUAUCUUUUUUUUUUUAAAGCAUGAACGUGUUUUGUGUUCAGCAAAUGUGAAUCCUAUAGGUUUGGAAUUACAAUUUUAAGUUAACUGUUCCUUUAAUAUUGUUACAGAUGGUUCAUGCUGGCUUAACAGAAAAAAGACACCAAUAAAUUAAGUGGAAUGAGAAGAGCUUUGUUAGGACACAUACCAGAGACAUGGGAGCACUUUUGUGAUGCUGCAAGUGGGAGUUGGGUAUCUUGCUUGGCUGAAAACUGCAGAGAAACACAUCUCGUCUUGCUGAAAACUACUCUUUACAAGGAGGUCCAAACACCAUUAGCAGAGACUUUGUUCAGUUAGCAUUAACAUGCAUUCUGCCUGGAUGCUGAUGAAUGGGAUGCUGUUGUUUAAGCUGAUAAAUGUAAGCAUUAUAAACCUCGUGACAUUAAGUGUACAUAUGGACCAAAUAAGAAUAUGUAUUUUGUGCCUUUGCACUGAUUUGCUUUGACAUUAUGAUGUUUUAAUUGUUGUAAGAACAUGUUCUUUACAUGCAUUGAAAACAUUGAAUGUGAAAACAUUUUUCUCAGGGAAAAAGAUUUACAAUGUUUCAAUUAAAAAUUAAUAAUUGUAAAAGUGUAUUGUUUUGUGGGUUUAUUUUUUUAUAUUUGUACCUGAACAUUGGUGCAGUGUUCACCAGUUGAGGGAGUUAAAUUCACUCUUUAAAAUUUGCAGUGUAGGUAUAUGUUUUAAUCUGCAUUACCAUUUUAAAAUAAGUAUUUACAAUAUUUACAUUAAAUCAACAUUAAAUAAAUACACUGGGUGUGUAGGAUUAAUCACCAUUAAGUGUUAAAUGUGUAUACUUGUGAGUAAUAAUUUCUUACCACCCUUAGUGAUUAAAAUUAAACACUAACAGUGUUCGUAUAAUAAACACUUUCGUCAGUGUUGUUUUAACACUAGCAAAGAUGGACCUGUAUGUUCACCCGGAAAGUGUUAAUUGGUGACAAAUCUCCCAACAUAUUUUUGCUGUGUAUAUUCUAUGGAAAAAAGCCGCUAAAAGGGUCUGAAAGUUGCUAAAUAUAGUGCUAAAGUCACGCUCGUGUGUGUGGGAGCUGAUGGCAGGGGGCGGUGGAUAUUGUGGAUGAGUUCUUCUGUGUCAUCACGUUCUACAGCUUCAGAACUUUCACGCUUAGUAAUACUGUGUUCUUGCCACGAUUAAUAUUUAAGUAAUACAUACAGCUGUGCCUGUGUUCUUGCCACGAUGAAUAUUUAAGUCGUUAAACUAAAGUUCACGUAAACUCUUCUCUCCGCUGCCUGCGGCUGUCUGUCAUCCUCCGUUCAGCAUUCAAACUGCGUGUCACGUUCGGUUACGACAGGCAAGACGACUAAACUCUCUCCUAGAGCACACAAUAACUAAAAUUUAAAACCAUUAAAAGAAAAGGCUCAAUAAACUACCGCACAGAUUUAAUAAGCUACGCAUCAAUAUAUCUUUCCUUUGUGCUUUGAACUUUUCUAUCCGGAGCUGCGCGCUGUGACUCUAUGAGCUUUUCAUAUUAUAAUACUUUUGUGCAAUGAAAGAUUAUUUAAUGCGUUUCUUGUUCUGUCCUAUCAAGGCUAUUAAUAAUAUAAUGUAUAGCACAGUAAUGGAGGAGGCAGCAACAUAUGAUAGAUAGGACUCCUCUAUCAUAUGUUGCUGCCUUCAUUACUGUGCUAUACAUUUAAAAUAAAUGUUUUUUUGUUUUUUUUUUGUAGUUCAUAUUUAUAAAUAAAUACAUUUACUUGUUUUCAUUAAUGUGUUUUACAACAAUACAAAGAGCAAUGUAGGGCUGCAACAACGAAUCGAUUAAAUCGAUAAAAAUCGAUUACUAAAAGCGUUGGCAACGAAUUUCAUAAUCGAUUCGUUGUGUCGCGCGACGCGGAGACGUUUGAUUAUUAAAAAAAACUUCAGUUGAGCGCGGAGCAGAGUGAACACACUCGGUCUCUCUCGCGCACGGAUGCUAGCAGAGUUCGGCGCCUCAUAAAUUAAAAAAAAAAAAGUAAAAAAAAAAAAAAAAAACGAGCGGAGGUAGAGGAAAGAUAUGGCGGAGGCAGAGAAAUCCGUGCGACCCAAGUCAUCCAAGGUGUGGGAGCAUUUCACACUAAAUAAACAGAAAAAGUGUGUUAACUGCAAAAUAUGCAAAAGCGACAUGGCAUGGCACGGGAGCACCACGGCAAUGAUCCAGCACCUGAAACGCAAACAUGUUGGAGUCUUUGAUGAGGAGGAAGGGAGUUCAACAGCAGGGUAAGUCACUACAGAAUCCUACUUUUGUUCCGUUUUGAAGUGAGGAAUGUAAUGUCCCUGGUGCUGGUGUUUACUCGUUAUCCAGCUUGACAAGCAUGACAAGUUAGCGUUAGCUCGUUAAUAACAGUAGUAAAGCAGGGGUGGUAUAGUUACUUUGCAUUG